rnacentral:rRNA from 1 species
GAUGAACGCUGGCGGCGUGCUUAACACAUGCAAGUCGAACGGUGAAGCCAAGCUUGCUUGGUGGAUCAGUGGCGAACGGGUGAGUAACACGUGAGCAACCUGCCCUGGACUCUGGGAUAAGCGCUGGAAACGGCGUCUAAUACUGGAUAUGAGCCUCUUCCGCAUGGUGGGGGUUGGAAAGAUUUUUUGGUCUGGGAUGGGCUCGCGGCCUAUCAGCUUGUUGGUGAGGUAAUGGCUCACCAAGGCGUCGACGGGUAGCCGGCCUGAGAGGGUGACCGGCCACACUGGGACUGAGACACGGCCCAGACUCCUACGGGAGGCAGCAGUGAGGAAUAUUGCACAAUGGGCGAAAGCCUGAUGCAGCAACGCCGCGUGAGGGAUGACGGCCUUCGGGUUGUAAACCUCUUUUAGCAGGGAAGAAGCGAAAGUGACGGUACCUGCAGAAAAAGCGCCGGCUAACUACGUG